GCUUGUCUCAAAGAUUAAGCCAUGCAUGUCUUAGUGUAAAUAACUCUUAUGAAACUGCGAAUGGCUCAUUAAAUCAGUUAUCGUUUAUUUGAUGGUCCCUUACUACAUGGAUAACCGUAGUAAUUCUAGAGCUAAUACAUGCACAAAGGCCCGACUCACGAAGGGCUGUAUUUAUUAGAUUUAAAGCCGACAUCUUUUGGUGAUUCAUAAUAACUGAUCGAAUCGCAAGGCCUUUGGCCGCGAUAAGUCAUUCAAGUUUCUGCCCCAUCAGCUUUCGAUGGUAGUGUAUUGGACUACCAUGGCGUUCACGGGUAACGGAGAAUUAGGGUUCGAUUCCGGAGAGGGAGCCUGAGAAACGGCUACCACAUCUAAGGAAGGCAGCAGG
rnacentral:rRNA from 1 species